rfam:Flavobacterium frigoris strain DSM 15719 genome assembly, contig: Ga0131223_102
UUUUAUGUGUGAAGGAUAGUAGUGGAAAUCCUUUUAUGAAGCCUUGCGGAGUAAAAGAUUGCAGCGGAUAGCCUGACGGCAA